CUGAUCGCAUGUCGAGUCUGACGGAGCACGCCGCGUGAGUGAUGAAGGCUUUCGGGUCGUAAACUCUGUUGUUAGGGAAGAACAAGUGCUAGUUGAAUAAGCUGGCACCUUGACGGUACCUAACCAGAUAGCCACGGCUAACUACGUGCCAGCAGCCGCGGUAAUACGUAGG
rnacentral:rRNA from 1 species